CCCUUUGAGAAGUACUAUGGAGAUCAUUGUGAGCUUUACAGCAGAGGGGCCGGUUUCUACGCUGUCCUCUUUGGCUGUUUAGCAGCUUUUGCUCUACUUAUCAUUGUCUUUGGUGUGAUGAUUCUGGUGCUCUACAGAGCCAAGAGAACUUCAAGCAAAAGGAGGUUAUCACUUUUUGAUGAUGUCUUCUUCGAUUUUACAUCAAGAGGAUCCAUAGACAGUGGUUAUGGGAUUCAAAAUUUGUCAGUCACAGAAGAUUCAGCACCUGGGUCUUUCAGCUCAUAACAUGAAAAUGCACCUGUGCGAUAAAGACCAGAGCAAAUUAAGUGGUGGAUGUCCGAUGAACAGAAAAGACAUUUAUUUAUCUAAAGAAAUUGUAUUUAAAAUAUUUAUAAAAUAAUCUCAGGAAACCAACAUAAUUAUACAUACAUUUACUGGGUUGAUUUCAGAUUAUGUAUCUUAUGUCUUUCAAAGCAAAUUCAGAUGACUAUGUACAAACUGUGUAGUGUAAAUAAUAUUUAAAAAAAACAUAAGAACAUUGUAUAAAGCACCUCUGUAAAACUCAGUAAUCUAUGAUACCAAACACUGCAUAGCAUAUGGAAAAAUCAAUA